rnacentral:rRNA from 1 species
GAUGAACGCUAGCGGCAGGCCUAACACAUGCAAGUCGAGGGGUAGUUACUUUCGGGUAAUGAGACCGGCGCACGGGUGCGUAACGCGUAUGCAAUCUACCUUUUACAGGGGAAUAGCCCAGAGAAAUUUGGAUUAAUGCCCCAUAGUAUAUAACAUUCGCAUGUUUGUUAUAUUAAAGUUCCAACGGUAAAAGAUGAGCAUGCGUCCCAUUAGUUAGUUGGUAAGGUAACGGCUUACCAAGACUAUGAUGGGUAGGGGUCCUGAGAGGGAGAUCCCCCACACUGGUACUGAGACACGGACCAGACUCCUACGGGAGGCAGCAGUGAGGAAUAUUGGACAAUGGGCGCAAGCCUGAUCCAGCCAUGCCGCGUGCAGGAAGAAGCAUCUAUGGUGUGUAAACUGCUUUUGUACAGGAAGAAACACUCCCUCGUGAGGGAGCUUGACGGUACUGUAAGAAUAAGGAUCGGCUAACUCCGUGCCAGCAGCCGCGGUAAUACGGAGGAUCCAAGCGUUAUCCGGAAUCAUUGGGUUUAAAGGGUCCGUAGGCGGUUUGAUAAGUCAGUGGUGAAAGCCCAUCGCUCAACGAUGGAACGGCCAUUGAUACUGUCAGACUUGAAUUACUAGGAAGUAACUAGAAUAUGUAGUGUAGCGGGUGGAAUGCUUAGAUAUUACAUGGAAAUACCAAUUUGCGAAGGCAGGUUACUACUAGUGGAUUGACGCUGAUGGACGAAAGCGUGGGGAGCGAACAGGAUUAGAUACCCUGGUAGUCCACGCCGUAAACGAUGGAUACUAGCUGUUGGGUGCAAACUCAGUGGCUAAGCGAAAGUGAUAAGUAUCCCACCUGGGGAGUACGUUCGCAAGA